rnacentral:rRNA from 1 species
AUGUGCCAAGCCGCGAGAGUGUGCCACAACAAUGGCAUGGUCGCGUCGGUUUCAUCUCUCCUGAUCUCGCUCGUCAUCAAGCCCCUGGCCAAGAACGCCAUCCUCACGGGCCGGAGCAUCCUCGCCCUCCUCGCCGGCGACGGCGCCGGCAACGCGAGCGCCGCGGCCGCUCCACGUGGGCAGCAUUGCGAGCAGUGCGCCGCGAGGGACGGCGCGCGCCUGUGGAGCUCCGACGCGGCGGCGGUCAUGGCGACCCUGGGCCUGGUUCCACCCCGACGCGGCAGUGACGACGACGACGACGACGGGAUGGUUGUGUGUGGUGGAUGCGAGGCGAUGGGGGUGGUGGAGGAGGUGGCGUGGGGGAGCAAGGAGGCCGGGGAGGCGGAGCUGCGGGAGGCGUUCGGUGUGUUCGACCGGGACGGGGACGGGCUGGUGAGCGCGGCGGAGCUGUGGGGCGUGCUGCGGCGGCUCGGCAUGACCGAGGGCGCCAGGUACGAGGACUGCGCCAGGAUGGUCGCCGCCGCGGCCGCCCGCCACGGCGGCGCGGACGGCGGGCUCGGGUUCCCCGAGUUCAAAGCCAUGAUGGAGCACGCGGUUUAA